rnacentral:lncRNA from 1 species
UAAAAAUAUUUAGAGUGAAACAUUGCAGUCACAGUCCAUGAAUUGUUAAAAUUUAUUACAGUUAUUCCUAAUUGACAUUUAAAAUGCUUUCAAGAUUAUAUUAUGAUGCUACCUUGAAAUAAGAAUUUAAUGUGUGUUCAGAAAAACGUAAAAACAGAGUGGCAAUGUGGAUUUCGAUAUUAGUGAGGUAAACAUUUGUUCAUUAGAGAAAUGACUGCAUUCCUAUAUUUCCUUGCAGAACAAAUUUUGAACAAAGUGAAGCAUAUAUUCUGUUUAUACAGGUAUCCCUCAGUUUAUGCACUCUCAAUUAAUGAAUUUUCAAUUUUAACAGACUGCACAAAUAUAUAUCAUUUUUCAUUUUAUAAAGGAAAAUUUUUUCUUUUAAAAAGAAACUAUUUUAUCAAUGAUCAAUUAUCUACUAUAAUUUAUUUAAAUCAAUAAUUUUCUUAUUUUCUUUAUUGAUUAU